UACGUAGGCGGAAAAUUAAGUCAGUAGUGAAAUCCUGAAGCUUAACUGUAGAACUGUUAUUGAUACUGGUUUUCUUGAAUAUAGUUGAGGUAGGCGGAAUGUGUAAUGUAGCGGUGAAAUGCUUAGAUAUUACACAGAACACCGAUUGCGAAGGCAGCUUACUAAGCUAUGAUUGACGCUGAGGUACGAAAGCGUGGGGAGCGAACAGGAUUAGAUACCCUGGUAGUCC
rnacentral:rRNA from 1 species